rnacentral:rRNA from 1 species
UACGACUACAUAUCAGGCAUAUCAAUAAGCGGAGGAAAAGAAACUAACUAGGAUUCCCUCAGUAACGGCGAGUGAAGCGGGAAGAGCUCAAAUUUGAAAUCUUCAAGGUUUUACCUUGACGAAUUGUAGUUUAAAGAAGUGUUUUCUGUUGGAGUUUUGGUAAAAGUUCUUUGGAAUAGGACAUCAUAGAGGGUGAGAAUCCCGUAUUUGACCAUUAUUUCCAGCUUUGUGAUACACUUUCAAAGAGUCGGAUUGUUUGGGAAUGCAGUCCAAAAUGGGUGGUAAAUUUCAUCUAAAGCUAAAUAUUGGCGAGAGACCGAUAGCGAACAAGUACCGUGAGGGAAAGAUGAAAAGAACUUUGAAAAGAGAGUUAAACAGUACGUGAAAUUGUCAAAAGGGAAGCGUUUGACACCAGUGUUGUUUCUCCGAAAAUCAAUUAAUGAUGGAUUCGAUGCUAAGCUAUUAAGACCUCUAUCAGCUUGCUGCUUUAGUUUUCUGGUCAUUUUGUGAAUGCACUUUUCGGUGAACAAGUCAACAUCAAUUUCUUUUGCCUGUAAAAGGGUAAGAGGAAGGUGGCUUAGGUUUCGGCUGAAGUGUUUAUAGCCUUUCUGCCUCUGCAGUCGGAGAGAUUGAGGUCUGCAGCGUAGACUCUUCGGGGUUAGAUACGUCGGUGCGAAGCUAUAGCUUUUCAUAGACAACUUGUUGACUAUGUUUAGUCAUGUGGCUUACCCGCUGGCGCUAUUUUACCUACGCUUAGGAUGUUGACACACGCGCGUGCUCG